UGUAUUCAGGGGGAAGUACGGUCUCGAGGCUGAAACUCAAAGGAAUUGGUGGGAAGGCGCCACAAGGCAUGGGGUAUGCAGCUCCAUUUGAGUCACCAUGGGGAACAUUACCAGGUCAGGACGCAGCUGCGAUGGAAGCACCUAGUGGUGAAUAUUGUGGACUCAGUGUGUGGU
rnacentral:rRNA from 1 species